rnacentral:rRNA from 1 species
UACGUAGGGUGCGAGCGUUAAUCGGAAUUACUGGGCGUAAAGUGUGCGCAGGCGGCCGAGCAAGUCGAGUGUGAAAGCCCCGAGCUUAACUUGGGAACUGCGCUCGAAACUACUUGGCUAGAGUGUGGCAGAGGGAGGUGGAAUUCCACGUGUAGCGGUGAAAUGCGUAGAGAUGUGGAGGAACACCGAUGGCGAAGGCAGCCUCCUGGGCCAACACUGACGCUGAGAAGCGAAAGCAUGGGGAGCGAACAGG